UCUUGUCGCGUUUGAUGGUACCUACUCUUCGUCUCAUUAGUGAGAGUUCAGUAUAAAUGGAACCUAAGUGGGAGCCUUUGUGAUCAAGAAAAUAAUUUGAAUUAAGCUAAUUUCUCUAAAGAAUUCGAAAUGGCCAAGCUGAACACCACCACCAGAGCAGCCUUGUUGGUUCUCGUACUCUCCAUUUUUCUUUUUAUCACAGUUUCUGAAAGCAGAAAACUUUCCAUUGCUGCAAAAGCCAAGCCGGUUCCAACAUGUGAUACGGUGUUCGGAGUGAGGGAAGGAGAUACUUGUUUUGAUGUCGCCAAGUUUUUCAAACUCACAACUGCUGAGUUCGAUUCUAUCAACCCUAAUGUAAAUUGCACUGCACUGUUCAUUGGACAAUGGAUCUGUAUCGGUGGAACUGCUUAACAAACUCAUGUAUCCUCUCAUGGAACUGAAUGCAGGGACUGCCUAAUAAAGCGCAGCGAAACAAGGUCCCAGACCUAGUUUAAAAGUUACUGCAUGUUGUGUUUUUCUGAUUUACUGUUAAGUAAUUGGAUGGGCAAAGAUGCAUCAUUCCUAAAUUUUGUUUCUUUAUACGUAGUUGGAAUCAUUCCGGGUAAUGGAUUUUACAACUUUUUUUUC